rnacentral:rRNA from 1 species
UGGCGACCGGCGCACGGGUGAGUAACACGUAUCCAACCUGCCGAUGACUCGGGGAUAGCCUCUCGAAAGAAAGAUUAAUACCCGAUGGCAUAGUUCUUCCGCAUGGUAGAACUAUUAAAGAAUUUCGGUCAUCGAUGGGGAUGCGUUCCAUUAGCUUGUUGGCGGGGUAACGGCCCACCAAGGCAUCGAUGGAUAGGGGUUCUGAGAGGAAGGUCCCCCACAUUGGAACUGAGACACGGUCCAAACUCCUACGGAAGGCAGCAG